rnacentral:rRNA from 1 species
UACGAAGGGGGCUAGCGUUGUUCGGAAUUACUGGGCGUAAAGCGCACGUAGGCGGAUACUUAAGUUAGGGGUGAAAUCCCGAGGCUCAACCUCGGAACUGCCUUUAAUACUGGGUAUCUCGAGUUCGAGAGAGGUGAGUGGAAUUCCGAGUGUAGAGGUGAAAUUCGUAGAUAUUCGGAGGAACACCAGUGGCGAAGGCGGCUCACUGGCUCGAUACUGACGCUGAGGUGCGAAAGCGUGGGGAGCAAACAGG